UACGGGGGGGGCAAGCGUUGUUCGGAAUUACUGGGCGUAAAGGGCUCGUAGGCGGCCAACUAAGUCCGACGUGAAAUCCCCAGGCUUAACCUGGGAACUGCGUCGGAUACUGGAUGGCUUGAAUCCGGGAGAGGGAUGCGGAAUUCCAGGUGUAGCGGUGAAAUGCGUAGAUAUCGGGAGGAACACCAGUGGCGAAGGCGACUACCUGGCCUGUUCUUGACGCUGAGGCGCGAAAGCUAGGGUAGCAAACGGG
rnacentral:rRNA from 1 species